rnacentral:rRNA from 1 species
UACGGAGGGGGCUAGCGUUGUUCGGAAUUACUGGGCGUAAAGCGCUCGUAGGCGGCUUUGCAAGUCAGAGGUGAAAGCCCGGGGCUCAACUCCGGAAUUGCCUUUAAGACUGCAUCGCUAGAAUUGUGGAGAGGUAAGUGGAAUUCCGGGUGUAGAGGUGAAAUUCGUAGAUAUUCGGAAGAACACCAGUGGCGAAGGCGGCUUACUGGACACAUAUUGACGCUGAGGUGCGAAAGCGUGGGGAGCAAACAGG